UGGCCAAUGAAGAUAACCAACUGGAAAAAUACCAUCUUUCGGGACUGAUUGGUAUUUGUAACCAUGCUGUCAUUCUGUAAUUCAGAGGCCU